CAGUGACGCGAUUCACACACUUGCACUCCGGACUUUCAAGCUUCUCUGUGUUAGAAGGAUUAUGCAUCGCUAUUUCAAAUAAAUAACAAGCCAGAACAAUGAUCUGCAUCCUGUUAGUUGCAGGGCACGGUACGGUUUUAGAGAUACAGAUUAAGAGCGAUGUUACAGGUCUGUACUCUCAUUUGACUGGAGUGCCCAAAGCUCUGUUACCUGGAGUCGGAGGAAAGAAAAUAUUGGAUUUCUGGUGGGAAAUCGUCAACACGCGUCAGCUCUUCAGUGAAGUCCAUCUGGUCACGAAUGCUGACAAAUACAAGCAUUAUGAACGGUGGGCAACAGCAAAUGACUUUCCGUUGCAGAAUGUUGUGAAUGAUGGCAGCACGACUUUAGAUGACCGGCUUGGGGCUGUGGCAGACCUUGAGUUGGCCAUCCGAAGCCGGCAGCUACAAGAUGACAUCAUGGUGAUUGCAGGAGACAUGCUUUGUGCUGAUCAGAACUUUGAUAUUGCACAGGUCAUUCGCUUUUUUAGAUCUAAGCCUGGAGAACUUGCUAUAUAUUAUGAGUUGGAGUCUGGGGAGAAGAGCUUCUCCAGAGGAAUUGUUGAAGUUUGUCCAAACACUCAUCGAGUCAUGCGCUUCCUUGAGAAGCCUCAGGAGGGCGUCACUGCAUCUCGCCUUGCCAGUGUGGUAUUCUACUGCCUACGCAAAGAGUCCUUACCAUACAUCUCAGAAUUCCUCUGCAAUCAUCCAGACGUUAAAGAUAGAACCUUUGGCAUGUUUUGGGAAUGGCUUGUAAAUGAGGAGAAAGUGCCUGUUUAUGGGAUGAAGCUACCAACAGGUUUUCAACUAAUUGGACAAGUGGGUCUGUCUGAUUACACGAAAUGGCUUGCUCACUAUUCUUCAAAGCAACAGUUAUCUCCAUCUAAACCUAUUACAUGCCGCUCAUAUGCCAGGGUUGGACUCAUGGGGAACCCGUCUGAUGGUUUCAAUGGGAAAACCAUUGCUUUGACCAUCGCUAACUUCUGGGCUGAGGUCACACUCAUGGAAAGCCAGACUCUGGUCCUUUUACCUCAUCCUCUGAACGACCCAACAGAGUUUGGAAGCAUGCAGGAUCUUUUUCGGAUUAGUCGUAAAGAAGGGUACUUGGGAGGUCUGAGACUUCUGCAAGCCACCUGUAAAAAGUUUUUCCAGUUCUGCUCUGAGCAAGGCAUUGCUCUGUCCAAGCAGAAUUUUACUCUGAAGUAUGACACAAACAUUCCUCGGCAAGUGGGUUUAGCUGGUAGUAGUGCAAUCGUGUCGGCCACCUUGAAGUGCCUGAUGAAGUUUUACAACAUCACAGACAAUGAUCUUCCUAAACCAGUCAGAGCAAACUUCAUCCUCAGUGUUGAGACCGAUGAGCUCUUCAUCACAGCUGGUUUACAGGACAGAGUUGUGCAGGUUUAUGAAGGCUUGGUUUACAUGGACUUCAACAAACAGCUUAUGGAUGAGCGGGGUUAUGGAGAUUACAUUCCCUUGGAAAUGAACGAUCUCCCCUUAUUUUGGUUGGCCUACUUGGGUGAUCCAAGCGAUUCUGGACGGAUUCAUAGUAAUGUUAGACAGCGCUGGCUGAAUGGUGAAUCUGUUGUUGUUGAAGCAAUGAAGUCAUUUGCUGACCUCACAGAUCAAGCCAGGGCUGCCUUCCAGUGUAAGGACUGGCCUAGACUUUCUCAGCUCAUGGAUGAAAACUUUGAGCUUAGGCGGUCCGUGUAUACUGAUGACUGUUUGGGCCCAGGAAAUCUGAAAAUGGUACAGCUUGCGAGACAGUUUGGAUCUGCAGUGAAAUUGCCUGGCAGUGGUGGCGCUGUGGUGGGCUUGUGUAUGGACCCUGAACGGCUGGUGGAGAUGAAGAAAGCUUUUCAAGUGGCUGGUUGUGUGUUUUGUCUUAUCAUGCCAUAUGAUCCUUCAGUGCAAGGUCAUUACUGAUUACUCGCUGAACAAAGAAAGAGUUUCCUGAUUUGUUUAAGAAGCUGUGAUGACUCUAGAGAGGGACAUACCUCUUUUGGAUUGUUUUUAAUUGUCCCAUCAACACAAGUGAAUGGUGGCAAGAACUUUGAAGCUCCGAAAGAACACAAAGGCAGCGUAAAAGUAAUCCAUUCGACUCAAGUGGUUAAAUAUACAGUGGCAUUCAAAAGUUUGGAAUAAUGUACAGAUUUUGCUGUUUUGGAAGGAAAUUGGUAAUUUAAUUCACCAAAGUGGCAUUCAACUGAUCACAACGUAUAGUCAGGACAUUACUGAUGUGAAAAACAGCACCACUAUUUGAAAAAAGUUGUUUUUGAUCAAAUCUAGAAAGGCCCCAUUUCCAGCAGCCAUCACUCAAACACAUUAUCCUUGAGUAAUCAUGAUAAAUUGCUAAUUUGGUAUUAGAAAAUCACUUGCCAUUAUAUCAAACACAGUUGAAAGCUGUUUGGUUCAUUAAAUAAAUUUUAACAUUGUCUUUGUGUUUGUUUUUGAGUUGCCACAGUAUGCAAUAGACUGGCAUGUCUUAAGGUCAAUAUUAGGUCAAAAAUGGCAAAAAAGAAACAGCUUUCAAAACUCAUCAGUCAAUCAUUGUUUUGAGGAAGGAAGGCUAUACAAUGCUUGAAAUUGCCAAAAAACUGAAGAUUUCAUACAAAGGAGUACACUACAGUCUUCAAAGUCAAAGGACAACUGUCUCUAACAAGGACAGAAAGAGGUGUGGAAGUCCAGAUGUACAACUAAACAAGAGGAUAAGUACAUCAGAGUCUGUAGUUUGAGAAAUAGACGCCUCACAUGACCUCAGCUGACCGCUUCAUUGAAUUUUACCCGCUCAACACCAGUUUCAUGUACAACAGUAAAGAGAAGGCUCAGGAGGCCUCAUGGGAAGAAUUGCAAAAACACGUUUGAAACAGAAAAACAAAAAGAAAAGAGAGUGGGCAAAGAAACAGACAUUAGACAACAUAUAAUCGGAAAAGAGUGUUAUGGAUCUGAACCCCAUUGAGCUUUUGUUGGAUCAGCUAGACUGUAAGGUGUGUGUGACGUGUCAGACAAGACACAUCUAUAGCAAGUGCUACAGGAAGUGUGGAGUGAAAUGUCACCUGAGUAUCUGGACAAACUGACAGCUAGAAUGCCAAAGAUCUGCAAAACUGUCAUUGCUACAUGUUGAGGAUUUUUUGAUGAGAACUCUUUGAAGUAGUUUUUCAAAUUGUAAUAGUAAUUUUUCAAGUUAUUAAU